rnacentral:lncRNA from 1 species
UGGCAUCAUGUACGACGAUACUGUAAAUGCCAACUGCGAUAGGCGUCUGCCAGGUUUAAAUGGCUUGAACAGUUGCUCCAAUGAAAAAGAGUUUAUUGUUUUCCAAGUCUAUUCUGUUUUUAUUUCCUAAAUCUCUCUCUUGGAUCAGUCUAUUUUCUGACCUUUAGAAAUAUUACUAUGAUGUAUUUUCUCUUUUAAUUAGGUUUGUGAAAAGGUCCAU